GGUUGAUCCUGCCGGACCCGACUGCUAUCAGAGUGAGAUUAAGCCAUGCGAGUUAACGUAGCAAUACGUGGCGCACGGCUCAGUAACACGUAGUCAACAUGCCCAGAGGACGUGGAUAACCUCGGGAAACUGAGUCUAAACCGCGAUAAGUGAGGAUUUCUGGAAUGGUUCCUGACUAAAAUCUAUAUGGCCUCUGGAUUGGACUGCGGCCGAUCAGGCUGUUGGUGAGGUAAUGGCCCACCAAACCUGUAACCGGUACGGGCUCUGAGAGGAGGAGCCCGGAGAUGGGCACUGAGACAAGGGCCCAGGCCCUAUGGGGCGCAGCAGGCGCGAAACCUCUGCAAUAGGCGAAAGCCUGACAGGGUUACUCUGAGUGACUUUCGCUAAGAAAGUCUUUUGGCACCUCUAAAAAGGGUGCAGAAUAAGGGGUGGGCAAGUCUGGUGUCAGCCGCCGCGGUAAUACCAGCACCCCGAGUGGUCGGGACGUUUAUUGGGCCUAAAGCAUCCGUAGCCGGUUCUACAAGUCUUCCGUUAAAUCCACCUGCUUAACAGAUGGGCUGCGGAAGAUACUAUAGAGCUAGGAGGCGGGAGAGGCAAGCGGUACUCGAUGGGUAGGGGUAAAAUCCGUUGAUCCAUUGAAGACCACCAGUGGCGAAGGCGGCUUGCCAGAACGCGCUCGACGGUGAGGGAUGAAAGCUGGGGGAGCAAACCGGAUUAGAUACCCGGGUAGUCCCAGCUGUAAACGAUGCAGACUCGGUGAUGAGUUGGCUUAUUGCUAACUCAGUGCCGCAGGGAAGCCGUUAAGUUUGCCGCCUGGGGAGUACGGUCGCAAGACUGAAACUUAAAGGAAUUGGCGGGGGAGCA
rnacentral:rRNA from 1 species